AUUGAACGCUGGCGGCAGGCCUAACACAUGCAAGUCGAGCGGAUGAAGGGAGCUUGCUCCUGGAUUCAGCGGCGGACGGGUGAGUAAUGCCUAGGAAUCUGCCUGGUAGUGGGGGAUAACGUCCGGAAACGGGCGCUAAUACCGCAUACGUCCUGAGGGAGAAAGUGGGGGAUCUUCGGACCUCACGCUAUCAGAUGAGCCUAGGUCGGAUUAGCUAGUUGGUGGGGUAAAGGCCUACCAAGGCGACGAUCCGUAACUGGGCUGAGAGGAUGAUCAGUCACACUGGAACUGAGACACGGUCCAGACUCCUACGGGGGGCAGCAGUGGGGAAUAUUGGACAAUGGGCGAAAGCCUGAUCCAGCCAUGCCGCGUGUGUGAAGAAGGUCUUCGGAUUGUAAAGCACUUUAAGUUGGGAGGAAGGGCAGUAAGUUAAUACCUUGCUGUUUUGACGUUACCAACAGAAUAAGCACCGGCUAACUUCGUG
rnacentral:rRNA from 1 species